rnacentral:rRNA from 1 species
GUUGAACGCUGGCGGCAGGCCUAACACAUGCAAGUCGAGCGGAUGAAGGGAGCUUGCUCCUGGAUUCAGCGGCGGACGGGUGAGUAAUGCCUAGGAAUCUGCCUGGUAGUGGGGGAUAACGUCCGGAAACGGGCGCUAAUACCGCAUACGUCCUGAGGGAGAAAGUGGGGGAUCUUCGGACCUCACGCUAUCAGAUGAGCCUAGGUCGGAUUAGCUAGUUGGUGGGGUAAAGGCCUACCAAGGCGACGAUCCGUAACUGGUCUGAGAGGAUGAUCAGUCACACUGGAACUGAGACACGGUCCAGACUCCUACGGGAGGCAGCAGUGGGGAAUAUUGGACAAUGGGCGAAAGCCUGAUCCAGCCAUGCCGCGUGUGUGAAGAAGGUCUUCGGAUUGUAGAGCACUUUAAGUUGGGAGGAAGGGCAGUAAGUUAAUACCUUGCUGUUUUGACGUUACCAACAGAAUAAGCACCGGCUAACUUCGUG